rnacentral:rRNA from 1 species
GACUGCAGGCUGAAACUCGCCUGCACGAAGUUGGAAUUGCUAGUAAUCGCGGAUCAGCAUGCCGCGGUGAAUACGUUCCGGGUCUUGUACACACCGCCCGUCACACCAUGGGAGCUGGUAACACCCGAAGUCAGUAGUCUAACCGCAAGGAGGACGCUGCCGAAGGUGGGAUUAGCGACUGGGGUGAAGUCGUAACAAGGUACC